rnacentral:rRNA from 1 species
CCUACGGGGGGCAGCAGUAAGGAAUAUUGGUCAAUGGGCGGGAGCCUGAACCAGCCAUGCCGCGUGCAGGAAGACGGCCUUAUGGGUUGUAAACUGCUUUUAUCGGGGAAUAAAACUUUCUACGCGUAGAGAGCUGAAGGUACCCGAAGAAUAAGCAUCGGCUAACUCCGUGCCAGCAGCCGCGGUAAUACGGAGGAUGCAAGCGUUAUCCGGAUUCAUUGGGGCUAAAGGGUGCUGGUACGGAUUUGGUGAAAUUCUAGUGCUUAACAUUAGACCUGCCAUGGAUACUGUCAGUCUAGAGUAUAGUUGGAGUGGGCGGAAUGUGUCAUGUAGCGGUGAAAUGCUUAGAUAUGACACAGAACACCGAUCGCGAAGGCAGCUCACUAAGCUAAAACUGACGCUCAUGCACGAAAGCGUGGGGAUCAAACAGGAUUAGAUACCCGGGUAGUC